AGACUUAAUCUCAUCCCAUUGGCUUAAUCAAAUUAAGCCAAUUAGCAAUCAAAUUGUUAAUCGAUUCUCCUACAACACUUGCACUAGGUUAAAUGUCAAUCGUAUUGAUCGUUUAACCCUAGAAUGAUUCUUAAUCAUUGAUCAACCAUCCGAUCGGAUCAUGAAUUCUAAUGUAUGUGACCUCAUAGGUCCAAACAUAAGCUGGUAGUAUAGAAAUAAAUUUUUGUACCAAUCGAAGUGACCAUCUAGCAAUGGUACCCGA
rnacentral:lncRNA from 1 species